rnacentral:lncRNA from 1 species
GCCAUCGGGUCUGGCUCCGAAGCUCAGCACAUUGUAACUCAAGGGAAUUGCUAAAGAUGAACUAAAGAAGAGAAUCAAAAGAAAUGUUAAAAAACUAAUAGGCAAAGACAUUGAUGUUGACAUUGUUUCAAAGCUUAAAUUUACUAAUAGAAAUGAGAGAAAUAGAUUUGAGACGUUGAGGAGUUAGUGUGAAGUUGAAAAGAUUUAAAUGGGU